CAUAAACAAGUGGUAGCGCCAAUCUUGCAAGGGCGUUAAAUCAAAUAAAGGGGAAGAGAAGGAAAAUGGCGAAACGAAUACAUCUCUCAAAAUUCUCCAUCGGUAGUACCCUGAACAAACCCCAAAAAUCCCUCUUGCUUCCUUCCUGCAAGCCCUUCUGCUCUCUCACAGAGAAGCAAGAAGCUACGUCUACAAACAACAGCACCACCAACCUCCAAGGUCAAGUCCAAGAACAGGCCCGCCAUGAACAUGUUCAAAAGCUCCAAACCCUCCUCCAACAGGGUCGUACCGAAACCGCGCGAAGGCUCAUCAGGUCUAUGCUUUUACCCAAAUCACCUUUCUCUUCACCCUCUCAUCUCUACACUCUCUUCUCCCUCUCUUCAACCCCCAUGAAACCCCUUUUCUCCGACAUGCUCUUAUCCAUUUGUUCCGAGUCCAAAAUGGUUUCGGAAUCUGCGGAAUUGUACAUGUUGAUGAAGAAAGAUGGUGUAUUGCCAUCCGUAGCGUCUCUCAAUCUGUUUCUUGAAUCUUUGGUGUCGACAAAACGGUACGAGGAAACUCUUCAGUUGUUUUCGGAGAUUGUGGAGUCCGGGCUUCGACCGGAUCAGUUUAUGUAUGGGAAGGCGAUUCAGGCGGCAGUGAAGUUAGGGGACUUGAAAAGGGCUAUUGAGCUUAUGACUUGUAUGAAGAGGGGAGGGGUGAGUCCGGGUGUUUUUGUGUAUAAUGUUGUGAUUGGUGGGUUGUGUAAAGAGAAGAGAAUGAAGGAUGCGGAGAAGCUAUUUGACGAAAUGCUUGAUAGGAGGGUGGCACCCAAUCGGAUUACCUAUAACACACUUAUUGAUGGGUAUUGCAAAGUGGGACAGUUGGAGGAGGCAUUUAAUAUUCGGGAGCGGAUGAAGGUGGAAAAUGUGGAGCCGACCAUUAUUACUUUCAAUUCGUUGCUUAAUGGGCUUUGUCGGGCACAGAUGAUGGAAGAGGCACAACGGGUGUUGGAAGAGAUGGAAGUUUAUGGAUUCGUUCCGGACAGAUUUACUUAUACUACUCUUUUUGAUGGCCACUUGAAGUGUGGGAAUGUGGAUGCUUCAAUUACCCUUUCUGAAGAAGCAGUAAGGAAAGGGGUUCAGAUUCUUGAUUAUACUUGUAGCAUUUUGUUGAAUGCGUUAUGUAAGGAAGGGAAUAUGGAGAAGGCUGAGGAAGUUUUGAAGAAGUUUUUGGAAAAUGGGCUUGCUCCAGUAGGGGUGUUUUUUAACACAAUUGUGAAUGGAUACUGCCAGGUUGGUGAUAUUAACAAAGCAUAUACGACAAUUGAAAAAAUGGAAGCAGUUGGGUUGAGGCCCAACCAUGUCACUUACAAUUCCUUGGUCAAGAAGUUUUGUGAAAUGAAGAAUAUGGAGGAGGCAGAGAAAUGCAUAAAGAAGAUGGUGGAAAAGGGAGUUUUGCCAAAUGUCGAGACAUAUAACACUUUAAUUGAUGGCUAUGGGCGGAGUUGCCUUUUUGAUAGGUGUUUCCAGAUUCUCGAAGAAAUGGAGAAAAAGGGGCUAAAGCCCAACGUUAUAAGCUAUGGUUGUCUCAUAAAUUGUUUAUGCAAGGAUGCUAACAUUCUUGAAGCUGAAGUAAUACUUGGUGAUAUGGUACACAGAGGAGUGGUGCCAAACGCACAAAUAUACAAUAUGCUGAUUGAUGGUAGCUGUAUAGCGGGGAAGUUGAAAGAUGCUUUCAGGUUUUUUGAUGAGAUGGUGGCAAGAGAGAUUGUUCCCACGCUUGUAACAUACAAUAUUCUUAUAAAUGGGCUCUGCAAAAAGGGUAAAGUAAUGGAAGCUGAAAACUUGGCCUCUGAGAUCACAAGGAAAGGUUUGAGUUUUGAUGUGAUCACAUACAACUCCCUAAUUUCUGGAUAUUCUAGUGCAGGAAAUGUUCAGAAGGCUUUGGAAUUAUAUGAAACUAUGAAGAAAUCAGGAAUUAAACCUACUCUAAAUACAUAUCAUCGUCUCAUAGCUGGAUGUGGCAAGGAAGGACUGGUGCUAGUGGAAAAAAUUUAUCAGGAAAUGUUACAGAUGAAUUUGGUUCCUGAUCGGGUUAUAUAUAAUGCACUUAUUCAUUGUUAUGUUGAACAUGGAGAUGUCCAAAAGGCAUGUUCUUUGCACUCUGCCAUGGAAGCCCAGGGGAUUCAGCCUGACAAGAUGACCUAUAAUUGCUUGAUUCUGGGGCACUUUAAAGAGGGUAGGAUGCAUGAAGUAAAGAAUCUUGUCGAUGAUAUGAAGAUUAGAGGAUUAAUUCCUAAAACUGAAACCUAUGACAUACUGAUUGUGGGGCAUUGCAAGCUAAAGGAUUUCGAUGGAGCUUAUGUCUGGUACAGAGAAAUGUUUGAGAAUGGUUUCACUCCCAGUGUCUCUAUUUGUGACAAUCUUAUCACUGGCCUUAGAGAGGAGGGAAGGUCCCAUGAUGCUGAUGUUAUUUGCUCAGAAAUGAUUAUGAAAGGAAAGGAUGAUUGUAGAGCAGAUGAGGAUGCUUCUGCUGUUUGAAAAUUGUAGUAAGUGUUUGUUGGGGUUAAGCUCUCAGUAGAGUAAUUCAUCUACAAAGAAAGGCCUAGGCAGGGGCUUAACUGGUCUCGAAGGUGGUAGAUGAGAUUCUCCAUUCAAAAUUAGCAUUAAAGCAGAUAUGUCAGAGGACUAAGCGCUGGCAGACCUUCCACAAUUAUGAAGAUUUGGCAGGGAGAUAUUCAUGCUGUAUAAGUUUUAACAAAAUAAUUAAAUUGAUCUCCAAAGAAAACCAGGUAUCUCAUACUUAUAGCCGUGCUAUGUUGUUCAGAGUUGUAUAUCUACUCUAGGCAGAAUUCCUUUUUAUAUUGAAGGGUGUGGAAUGGAGAUAUUUAUUUGAAUAUGUUUUUUGAUCUAAAAAUAGAAAUUGUGCCA